GGAAUUUCUGGAAAUAAGAACCAAGAGAUGGCAGACGAGUGCAGGAUAUUCUUCUAAACCAGAUGCAGAUUAAAUGAAUCUUUCCUGCGGCAUAUUUCUCUGUGUGUUAUUUGUUUGUUCCAAAUCUAAAAGAAACCACGCUACUCUAAUGAAAAGUAUCUGAUGUAUAGAACUCCAACAAAAAUGUGCCAUGUAAAGGCUGUCAAGAAGUGCUUCAACAAAGAUUGUGGAUAUAAACCAGAUCAAACCAGGAGACCAAAGACCACCUGAGUGCACAUUGAUUCUUCAUCUGAAACGUUCCAUUUCUGAGUAACA